GACGAACGCUGGCGGCGUGCCUAAUACAUGCAAGUAGGACGAAGUUGCGAACGGGUGAGUAACGCGUAGGUAACUACCUAUUAGAGGGGGAUAACUAUUGGAAACGAUAGCUAAUACCGCAUACUCGUAGAUGGACCUGUGUUGUAUUAGCUAGUAGGUAGGGUAAUGGCCUACCUAGGCACCGAUACAUAGCCGACCGUAGAGGGUGAUCGGCCACACUGGGACUGGGACACGGCCCAGACUCCUACGGGAGGCAGCAGUAGGGAAGCUUCGGCAAUGGGGGGAACCCUUACCGAGCAACGCGGCGUGAGUGAAGAAGGUCUUCGGAUCGUAAAGCUCUGUUGUUAAGGAAGCGGUACUUAACCAGAAAGGGACGGCUAACUACGUGCCAGCCGCCGCGGUAAUUC
rnacentral:rRNA from 1 species